UAACAAGGAUUCCCCUAGUAACGGCGAGUGAACCGGGAAGAGCUCAAAUUUGAAAUCUGGCGUGCUCAGUGCGUCCGAGUUGUAAUCUAUAGAAACGUUUUCCGUGCCGGACCGUGUCCAAGUCCCUUGGAACAGGGUAUCAAAGAGGGUGAUAAUCCCGUACUUGACACGACGACCGGUGCUCUGUGAUACGUUCUCUACGAGUCGAGUUGUUUGGGAAUGCAGCUCAAAAUGGGUGGUGAGUUCCAUCUAAAGCUAAAUAUUGGCGAGAGACCGAUAGCGAACAAGUACCGUGAGGGAAAGAUGAAAAGCACUUUGGAAAGAGAGUUAAACAGUACGUGAAAUUGUUGAAAGGGAAACGAUUGAAGUCAGUCGUGACUGAGAGGCUCAGCCGGUUCUGCCGGUGUAUUCCCCUCAGUCGGGUCAACAUCAGUUUUGUCCGGUGGAUAAGGGCAGUUGGAAGGUGGCAGCCUCGGGUGUGUUAUAGCCAGCUGUCGCAUACAUUUGAAAGGCUGAGGAAUGCAGCUCGCCUUUAUGGCCGGGGUCGCCCNACGUUCGAGCUUAGGAUGUG
rnacentral:rRNA from 1 species